CCAGCUCCUCGAUCUUGGACUUCCCAGCCUCCAGCACUGAUCAGAACCACGGCGAAGAUGAUGAUGACAACGACCACGAUGGCAGCAACGAUGGCUCCAGAACCUACGCGGAGGAGAGGAGCAGAGAUGGCGAAGGUGCAAACUGAAAUGCAGACUGCGAGAGGGCCGCUAUCAUGGCUGCUGUCUUGGCACCUGACAACCCCACUGGGUCAAGGGAAGGAGGAGAGAUGGCAACAUCAUGGGACACUCACUGCUGACCCCAGGACAGAGUCACAUCUAGCGUGGCCGGACACCCCUACCCCCAACUGGGCUUGAGGGGCUGUAUUCGCAGCACAUCAUCUGCCACAGUUUUGCUUUAGGCCAAGUCCUGUUCUUACAGCUCCAGCACAGCUUCAAACUUACUCUGGGAAACAGACAAGGAAAAUACUGUCCUCUCUUUUUGAUAAUACAAAAGUAACAAGAUUUUUAGAGAUAAUUUUGAAAAUAUAAAUACAAGCAGAAAAGGAGGAGGGAGAAUGAAGACCUCAUUGCCCCAAGAACCACUGAUCAUCUACAUAUAUACAUUCACCAAUGCGAUCAUGUUUAUGCAUAUUAAAUAUCUAUCAUA